UCUUUCCUCCCGAGUGCUUGCACUCAACUGGAAAGAGGAGUGGCGGACGGGUGAGUAACACGUGGGUAACCUACCCAUCAGAGGGGGAUAACACUUGGAAACAGGUGCUAAUACCGCAUAACAGUUUAUGCCGCAUGGCAUAAGAGUGAAAGGCGCUUUCGGGUGUCGCUGAUGGAUGGACCCGCGGUGCAUUAGCCAGUUGGUGAGGUAACGGCUCACCAAGGCCACGAUGCAUAGCCGACCUGAGAGGGUGAUCGGCCACACUGGGACUGAGACACGGCCCAGACUCCUACGGGAGGCAGCAGUAGGGAAUCUUCGGCAAUGGACGAAAGUCUGACCGAGCAACGCCGCGUGAGUGAAGAAGGUUUUCGGAUCGUAAAACUCUGUUGUUAGAGAAGAACAAGGACGUUAGUAACUGAACGUCCCCUGACGGUAUCUAACCAGAAAGCCACGGCUAAUACGUGCCAGCAGCCGCGGUAAUACGUAGUGGCAAGCGUUGUCCGGAUUUAUUGGGCGUAAAGCGAGCGCAG
rnacentral:rRNA from 1 species